rnacentral:ncRNA from 10 species
AAUGUUCUACAACGGCUUCCUGACGUAGGGCAAUUCUUUUUUGGAGCA